GAUGAAGAACGUAGCGAAAUGCGAUACUUGGUGUGAAUUGCAGAAUCCCGUGAACCGUCGAGUCUUUGAACGCAAGUUGCGCCCGAAGCCAUUAGGCCGAGGGCACGCCUGCCUGGGCGUCACACGUUGUUGCCCCCCCAUCUACUCCUUCGGGAUUGCGGGGGGCGGAUGAUGGCCUCCCGUGCGCCUCGUCGCGCGGUUGGCAUAAAUGCCAAGUCCUCGGCGACGCACGCCACGACAAUCGGUGGUUGCGAAACCUCGGUUGCCCGUCGUGUGCGGUCGUCGCGCAUCGAGGGCUCGAAAAAAUUGUCGGGCUCCGGCUCGGCUUUCAACGCGACCCCAGGUCAGGCGGGGUUACCCGCUGAAUUUAAGCAUAUCAAUAAGCGGAGGA
rnacentral:misc_RNA from 1 species